rnacentral:rRNA from 1 species
UACAGAGGGGGCAAGCGUUAUUCGGAAUUACUGGGCGUAAAGCGCACGUAGGCGGAUUGCUAAGUCAGGGGUGAAAUCCUGGAGCUCAACUCCAGAACUGCCUUUGAUACUGGCGAUCUUGAGUCCGGGAGAGGUGAGUGGAACUGCGAGUGUAGAGGUGAAAUUCGUAGAUAUUCGCAAGAACACCAGUGGCGAAGGCGGCUCACUGGCCCGGUACUGACGCUGAGGUGCGAA